AAGGAGUCCAACAAAUACGCGAGUGUUUGGGUGGCAAACCCGAGCGCGAAAUGAAGGUUAAUGUAGGUGGGAUCCUUCGGGUGCACCAUCGACCGGUCUGGAUAAUUUUUUGAAAGAUCUGAGUAAGAGCGUAUUUGCUGAGACCCGAAAGAUGGUGAACUAUGCCUGAAUGGGGUGAAGUCAGAGGAAACUCUGAUGGAGGCUCGUAGCGGUUCUGACGUGCAAAUCGAUCGUCAAAUUUGGGUAUAGGGGCGAAAGACUAAUCGAACCAUCUAGUAGCUGGUUCCAUC
rnacentral:misc_RNA from 1 species